UCUCGAAACGUUCUCAUAAACAUCUCGAAUCCGCCUACCGACUUCCUCUUUCAUUGCCAUUUCUUGUUGUGUGAGGUUCACGCAAGAAAUCUGCUGUUAUUUUAAGAAUCUUCUGGCUUUUUUAGCUGGGAAUUCUUUUAACAGCUCAAGAUGAGAGCGAAGUGGCGUAAGAAGCGUAUGCGAAGGCUAAAGCGAAAGCGCAGGAAGAUGCGUGCGAGGUCUAAGUAGACUCUCAUGUUCCACAACCUUGUGAGCUACAACUGGCCAACUAGGACGUGGAUUUCAUUUAAUACAUAAACAAAAAUCUUCGUCAUUUGAUUAUUCAUGUUUUAAUCAUUGACUACAAAAAAAAUAAAAAAUCUUGACUA